CACUUGGAGGAUGUAUAGCGAAAGCUAGUUGCAUUAGCUUCGAUUAAUUCGAAGUUAAUGCAGCAUCGACUAUGUCGAAUAAAGUUCUAGGUAGAGUUAUGAUAAUGACAUUUUCUAUCUAUGUGUCUUGACCAAAUCACGUGCCAGCAGUCGCGGUAAUACGUGGAAGACUAGUGUUAUUCAUCUUUAAUAGGUUUAAAGGGUACUUAGACGGUAUUUUUAGCCCAAAUAAAAACAAAGGGUACUAAUUAUACUAGAGUUUUAUGAGAGGGGGGUGCGUACUAAUGGUGUAGAGAUGAAAUUCUGUCAUACCAUUAUGACAGGCGACGGCGAAAGCAACCUUUAGUUAAAAACUGACGUUAAAGGACGAAGGCUUUGUAUCACCAACAGGAUUAGAUACCCAAGCAGUCUAAGCAGACAAUUAUGAAUGCCAUAGAUAAGAAAUCCAUGGAUAAAGAA
rnacentral:rRNA from 1 species